rnacentral:rRNA from 1 species
GACGAACGCUGGCGGCAUGCCUAACACAUGCAAGUCGAACGGUAAGGCUUCCUUCGGGAAGUACACGAGUGGCGAACGGGUGAGUAACACGUGGGUAACCUACCCUUGACUGGGGGACAACCGAGGGAAACUUCGGCUAAUACCGCAUAACGUGCAUUGCCUCAAGGUGGUGUACCAAAGCUCCGGCGGUUAAGGAUGGGCCCGCGGCAGAUUAGCUGGUUGGUGAGGUAACGGCUUACCAAGGCGACGAUCUGUAGCUGGUCUGAGAGGACGGUCAGCAACACUGGACCGGGGAAGCGGACCAGACUCCUACGGGGCGAGGCGGUGGGAAAUCUGGCGAAGUGGGCGAAGGCCUGACGCAGCAAGGCCGCGUGAGGGAAGCCGGCCUUAGGUUUGUAAACCUCUUUCAGCAGGGACGAACACAGACGGUACCUGAAGAAGAAGCCCCGGCUAACUACGUGCCAGCCGCCCCCGUAA